rnacentral:rRNA from 1 species
GACGAACGCUGGCGGCGUGCUUAACACAUGCAAGUCGAACGGAAAGGCCCUGCUUUUGUGGGGUGCUCGAGUGGCGAACGGGUGAGUAACACGUGAGUAACCUGCCCUUGACUUUGGGAUAACUUCAGGAAACUGGGGCUAAUACCGGAUAGGAGCUCCUGCUGCAUGGUGGGGGUUGGAAGGUUUCGGCGGUUGGGGAUGGACUGGCGGCUUAUCAGCUUGUUGGUGGGGUAGUGGCUUACCAAGGCUUUGACGGGUAGCCGGCCUGAGAGGGUGACCGGCCACAUUGGGACUGAGAUACGGCCCAGACUCCUACGGGAGGCAGCAGUGGGGAAUAUUGCACAAUGGGCGGAAGCCUGAUGCAGCAACGCCGCGUGCGGGAUGACGGCCUUCGGGUUGUAAACCGCUUUCGCCUGUGACGAAGCGUGAGUGACGGUAAUGGGUAAAGAAGCACCGGCUAACUACGUG